rnacentral:rRNA from 1 species
ACCAGACUCCUACGGGAGGCAGCAGUGGGGGAUAUUGCACAAUGGGGGAAACCCUGAUGCAGCGACGCCGCGUGGGCGAAGAAGUAUUUCGGUAUGUAAAGCCCUAUCAGCAGGGAAGAAGAAAUGACGGUACCUGAGUAAGAAGCACCGGCUAAAUACGUGCCAGCAGCCGCGGUAAUACGUAGGGGGCAAGCGUUAUCCGGAUUCACUGGGCGUAAAGGGAGCGCAGGCGGCACGGCAAGUCUGGUGUGAAAGCCCGGGGCCCAACCCCGGGGCUGCAUUGGAAACUGCCGGGCUGGAGUGCCGGAGGGGUAAGCGGAAUUCCUGGUGUAGCGGUGAAAUGCGUAGAUAUCAGGAGGAACACCGGUGGCGAAGGCGGCCUGCUGGACUGCGACUGACGUUGAGGCCCGAAAGCGUGGGGAGCAAACAGGAGUAGAUACCCGAGUA